rnacentral:lncRNA from 1 species
CACCAUAUAACAACAUCAAUUCCCAUCACCUUCUUAGCAUGAGGUGCCCUUUUGUCAAGAUCACAUAUUGGCAUCAAAGGAUACCACUGUGAGUACCAGUCAAAUUUCUCUGAACCUGUUUCAACUUCUGGUUCAUCAUCCACUUCAAGGUUACUACUACUAGACUCUGUUAACGGAGAAGGUGAUAAGGCAGUGAAAAGCUUGAAUUUUGAAGUGUUCCCACGAAUUAAUGGAAGUGUUGAAUGGAUUUGUGACUUCAAGAACAUGGAUUUUUUUAAUGGGGUUUGUGUUUUAUGUGCUAUUGGGAUGUGAAGUGAACAAAGAGAAAAAGCUAACAUAGCUUCCACUGUUCCCUUGUCCAAAAGAAGAAAGUGAUCACUUCAAUGAUGUGCUUCAAUUUAAGACAAGUUGAAACUAGGGGACAAUUAUUGCCGAGCUCCUGACCGAACUACGUUUCCCUAGGAAUUGGAGUGCGCUAAACACCAAAAAUAAAAGAGAGAAGUUGAAAAGCACAUUUUUUGUGUUCAUUUUUAGUAACACCCUAAUUUGGUAAAAUAAUUGUUUUCUUCUGCUUAUUGUACUUGCGUAUAAAAAGCUUAUUGUACUUGUGUAUAAAAAAAAAAUUAAACCAAAUUCAUUUUGAAACAAUCGAAAUGUAAAAAUGUUAAUCAGUAUUAUAAAACCAUGUAUAUAAAAUUUGUGUUGAAAAAAAUGAGGUAUUCAACAUUUUAAAAUUUUUUGUCACCAAAAUAUAUAUAUUCGUGACUAACAUUGUUAUCAUGAAAAAAGUAGAGCUUUUUUCCAUCUAAAAAAGGUAGAGCUCUUGUAUUUGAUCACUCUUAGUUAAUUUUUCAACGUUUAUUCAACAUAUAAUUUUCUUUUUAAUAUAUUUUUUUAUCAUAUUAUCAAUUUAUCACAUCCUCUAUUAUUACUCUCUUUAUUUCUUUCACUUAUUGUGCAAAUGAUGCAUUAAUGUUUUAACGACCAUUUUUCAGAAGAGCAUUGUCUUCUUGGUUGAAAAGCAUGAAAUUUUUUCUAUCCGACGACAAUGAAAGAUAUGACGCUCACUUUUAUCAACCACAAGUAUCAGGGAAAUGGAGGUCCAUGUUUUGUCCGUAUUCUACAACCCAGCAUGUGAUGUGCAUGUGCUACAGGAAACGCCUAUUUAAUUAAUUAUUGUUAUCAAUUUUAUCAUUGUUAUUUUGGUAAAUAGGAAACAUAGAGAAGGUGUGUUGGUAUGACUGGAGAGUUGGGUUGGUGAUUAUUAGCGCAGCUAUGUUGUUUUUUUGCUAUUAUUUGUGAGAGUAAGAGGAAGGUCACUAUUAUUUGACACUAACAAAUACCAGAGAAUAUAAUGAAAAAAUCGCAAGUCAUACAUGACAUAAAAAGAUAACCGAGGAAAAAGAUAUGAUAAUUAUACAUCCACAAUAACAUAGGUUAAUGCAAUCCAAUGAUGGGCAGAAGGAACACCACCCAGCAAAAUAUAACUAAAAUUAAAACAACUACUUCGUAAAUUAACAAAUAUUUUUGACAAGAUUGGAAAGGUAAAUGAACAAAAUUUGUCAGGACUAAAGGAUAAUUCAACUUCAGUGCUUCAUGAAUUAAAUCCACUCCCCCAAGAAAAGAACCUGGGACAUUGGCUCCAAUCAACAUCAUUUAAUAUGGUCUAAAUUUCCUAGCAGCUCUCAACUGUUGCAGACGUUUUUUAUCCUCUUCAAAUUUGCUCUGCAAUUCCAUUAGCUCUGCAAGCAAAACAUGAGUUGUUUAUCUCAGUUUGAUCAUGGUAAAAACGAUUUUGAAUGAUCAUGUGCUAAUUUAAGACAGCGUCUAAGGGUGAGGGAAAAUGGGGUAAAGCCGUAAUGCAUGAAUGAGCCUCACAUAAAAUCAUAUAAUUUUUAACGUGUUCCAAUCAACAAGAUGACAGCGAUCAUUUCACGACCAUCUAGACACAUAACUUACUAGUAUUUUCGUGUAUAGAAUCUUAAUUUACUGGCAGAAGGGUUUUGAAUCGUAGAAACCAAGAUAUUAGGGAAGCGAAAAAUAUCACAGACAGGGAAAAUGAACUUAUUUAUACUAUUAGGCCUAGAACUUGUAUAUGACUAACACAACACUAACAACCCUAAUAUUUCUUACACUAAAAGAAACACAAAUAACAUCAACUAUAAGAUCUGUUGCAUGCUAAUGCAAAUUUUGAUGGAACCCCCACCCCCCUUAUUAACAUCUUCCUUUAUUUAAACCAACAUUGUUCGUUUAAAUUUAAUUAUUGACUAUUUGUUUUAACAGAAGUAAACAUAUUUUGUAACAGAAACAGUUAAAAAUUAUCUACACGAUAUGAAAUAUUGCAAAACAUUAUGAAAAACAAGUCAUACCAUUUCUCUGAGCUUCUCUUUUUUGAAAGCGGUAGAAAUCUUGACCAACUCCUGUAUGUUUCUUUUUGGCCAACUUAUUUUCUGCAGCAGCCUGAGCAACCGAGCCCACAGCAAUCCCACUUUCGGCGUCAGUAGUUUUCUUUCUACCCUUGUGGUGCUGAACCACCGUCCAUCCCCCUUCUGCAGCAAGGGCUUCUUUUGCUUUUCUUUCCUGCAUUGACAAAAAAAUUAUUGCAUGGAAACCAAAACAAGUAACAGAUGUGGGUUCAUUCAUAACUGAAUAUUGAAUAUGGAAGAUUAAACACUUGAGUAUCACAAAGUGGGUUAAUAAGUCAUUUAGUUUGGGGUGUGAGAUGAGAGAUUAUAAAGAGCAUUGUUGUGUGAGAGUACUAGGCCUUCGUCCUGCUUGGAUACUGAAUAUUGCAUAUGGAAGAUUAAACACUUGAGUACCGCAAAGUGGGUCAGUAAGUCAGUUAGUUUGGGGUCUGAGAUGAGAGAUUAUAAAGGGCAUUGUCGUGGGAGAGUACUGGGCCUUUUGUCUUGCUAGGAUACUUAAGGAAGUUAAUUUUGAAAGGUGAAGCUUGAAGGAGGAAUAGGUCUAUAUUGGGUUGUUUCCUUUAUGUUUGUUCCAUGGCUCAUUAAGUUACCCAUUUUGGAUGUCAUGGUCAAGGUUUUGGUGGGAAGUAAUUUAUAUUUGCAUGUCAAUUUAUCUAUGAAUUCACUCUUCCUCUUGCUGAAACAUGUGCCACAUUGCUGCAGCAAUGACGAAAGAGAAAAACACACAAAUAUAUAGAUUUCUUUAGAGACAUCCACGGAAAAAUAGAUGUCACUUCUAAAACUAUUCAGCUAGCUAUCGUUGUGAGCAUUAAAGGUCUGUUUAUUGGCUCUUAUCUGUAUCUUGGUAAUCGUGUAUCAAAGAUUGGAACCUUGGCGGAAUAAUGUUUAUUCAGCUAGCUAUCUUGGUAAUCAUUUUGGGGGACUAUUGUUAGAUGUCCAUCAGGACUGACUAUUGUUAGAUGUCCAUCAGGACUGUUAGUCAGGCUUUCUUAAUUAGUUAGGUUAGUUGAGCUGAGAUAGUUGGAAGAAACAUGGCAUGUUGGGUAAGGAGGUUGCAGACCCUCAUUAUUUUGCAUUAUUGUUCUGUAAUCAGAGGAGAAAUUCCCUAUUCUUACUCAUAAAAUACCAUAUUUCUAUCAAUUACUCCCUUUCUUGAGGAGUUGUAUUCUAGUCAUGACAAGUAUACAUGAUGACUAGAGAAAUUCACUUUUUAUGCUGCCUAAGCCAAAAAACAUCAACCUCUAAAAGCAUGGAGGAAAAAGAAUAUCCAAAUUAUCCGCAUGCAGGAACAUCAAAACAAAAAUGAACUUCUAAUACGGCUUUACAGCUGUGAGAUAUAUAUCAAUUCGUCUAGAUACCCUAUAAAUGCAAACUGAAUUACCCUCCGCAUCCUAACACUAUAUUUAGCACCAACUACCAUACCCAUAAACAGAAAAGCUUUGUCAAAAGCAGACAGCAUCAAGCGCUAAGCACAUGGAGGCAAAGCAUCAUUAAACCUUAAUACAACUAUAAUAACUUGGACUCAUACGUUAAAGCCCUCCCUUAUAAAUGAAAAUAACUUUUACAUGUUAAUUUUCAAGGCCAUAGAACUAGUAAGUAUACAAAAGAAAAUGCUAGAUAAAUAUUUUCCAAUGUCAAUUUAAUUUCAAUGUAUAAUAAAAUUCUUGGCAUGAUUAUCCCCACUGAUAAAAGGUUCAUAUGACUAUAAUUAGGAAGAAAUAUGCUUAAGUAGAAAAUUUUCGAGCCAAUAUCUGACAAGAACAUCCAACCUCGUUUUUGCUUUAAGGAUGUUUUUCAAAAUAUUUACCUCUUCCAAUUUUUCCUCGUAAGUAGAUAUAAAAUCUUCAAUUUGAUGUUGCAAAACCUCCAACCCUGGUCUACUUUGAUGGUAUUCCAUGAUCCACUCUGCGGUUUGAGUAUUCCCGAGUCAAAAACUAUAUAAUGUAUGACAGUAGCAUACAAAUAUGCAGAAACUAUACCAUGCAUGACAAUAAAUAUUAAAUAUACAAUAGCAUAUGGAUGCACCACAUUCGAGUAGUCAACAGGUUGAAAUAAUAAUGGUAAACAAAAUGAAUAAAUGUCGCUCGAUGUUGGCAAAGGAUGAAAGACAUAUGCAUAUGAAAGUUUACAUAGAGAAUCUUGAAAUGUGCAUCAAUUACUGUAUGUGUAUGUAACUAUGUGCAUGUAAAAAAUAAACUCACAAUAUGUAACUAUGUUGACAUUACAAAAAUAUCAUUAAAUCUGUGCACGAUAUUGGUAGUUUUUAAGCAAAUAUAAGUUACUUUAGGAUAUUUGUAGUUUUUAAGCAAAUAUAAAUAAUUCGCAGAAGAAAAAAGCAAUUCAUACUUUUCAUUCCAUUUGAGCAGUCAUCAUCUCCAGAGGAAAUAAUAUGAAUGUCAUCCUGCUGAUUUUGUUCUUUCUUUUCUGAUGAUUUUGGAACCUCCUUUCUUCUUUUUUUCUUGGCUUGCUUUGACGUACCUACAAAACAAAUAUAACUUCUAUGAGGAAAAUGAAUGUAUGACUUCAGGCAUGAUAUUUCAGAAUACAACAAUAGCAUCAACCAGAAAGUGCUUUUUAUUACAAGGUUUGAUAGCUGCUUCAAUAUUAGAAUCUCUAGGCUUCUUGGAGUUUUUCACCUCCUUUUCUUUAGAAUCGCAAUGUUCCACUACUCCAUCUGAUAUCAUUGAGGAAAAAAGGUAAGAUGAACAUGAUUAGUUUUUUUUUUUUGAACAAGCCAAAAUCAUGAACAUGAUUAGUUAAAAAUAUUUUGUUCACAGAAUCCACACCGUAACCAUCAACUCACCAUUUUGCUCUUCUAAAUCAACUUCUCCGUCUACUGGUGUUUGUCUUCUAACAAGAUUUUUGUCCUUGUUCUUCCUUUUUCGACUAGUAGUAGCUUUCACCUUUUUUCCCUUUACAAUCUCCAUUUCAGGAUCCGCUGAAACAACCAAUUUAGUUCAGUGAAAGUUCAACAAAGUGCGACCCAUACAAAAACAUAACACAUUUAUAUACUUGUAGACGGUAUAGAAGUCACUCUACUAUCAUCAACUCACCAUUUUGCGCUUCUAAAUCAACUUCACCAUCUUCCGGUCUUUGUCUUUCAACUAGAUUUUUGUCCUUGUUCUUUCUUUUUCGGUUGAUGGAAACUUUCACCUUUUUUCCCUUUGUAACCGGCACUCCAUGAUCAACUGAAACAACCAAUUUAUUUCAGGAAAAAUUCAACAAAGUGUAAAGCAGUACAGAAAAACAACACAUUUAUAUACUGAUAUACAGUAAAAUAUAUUGUUCACAGUAUAAGCUGCAUAACAUAUUAUUUCAGAGAAAGUUCAACAAUGUGCGAGCAGUACAAAAACAUAACAUAUUUACAUACCAUCAUUGUUCACGGUGACAUGUGUCUCAACAUCAUCAGCAUUUUGUUCAAUGUUAAUUUUUUUCUUCUUUUCCCCAGUCCGUACACCUUUUUUUCCCUUACUAACUUUCAUCAUGGCAAAAAUUCAACCUGUGAAUCAAAACAUACACAUAAGACCUGUUUGGAUAAACAGUUUAAUUAAGCUCUUAUAGAAUACCUAACUAUUUAUAUCAUAUCCACAGACCAAAUUUGGUCCCUCAAAAAUUCCAAUUUAACUACCCCUAGCUACACCUUAUAAUUUAGGGAAAACUAUGAAUUAAGCAAAUAUACAUGUUAUAUACUUGAUAUGGAUCAAAGCUAUCACACUCAGAUACCUUGAGAAAUUGGGGGAGCGAAAAUUGAAUGUUGAAGAAUUGUGCUUAGUAGAGUUUCCACCUGCGUUUAGCGGCCAGGUUUUGCUUCUUACGAGUGUCUGGGAGAGAGGCAAAUUGAGCGUUUUUUUUUUUUUUUAAUUUGCUAAGUUUGUUUUUUCGAAAAAAAGUUUUUUUUGUAUGUGGAUUGGGCUUGCAGCUGAAUCUCGAGUAUUUGUUUUUCCCUUGAGAAAUUCUUUUCCCACCCUUCCUUCCUCUUGCGAGCUCUCCGUUUGUUAUAGCUUGAAAGAUCGGUUACGAUCCUAUGGUGUUGGAAGGUAUCUUCCGAAUUUAUAUUUAACGGUGAGUCCUAAGUUACUCUUUGAUGAAUUAUAUGUAAUUUACUCCUUAUGACGAUAUGAUUCGAUUUUGGAACGAAAAAGAUGGAGAUGACAUGUUGAAUGAAUGAGAUGAAAAAAUUUGAUGUUCUUAAGAUGAAAAUCGUAACUAAUUGUAAGAAAAACCCUAUCAAUGAGGUCUCCAUUAUUCAUUGAUGAAUUGAGGGUAAUUUACCGCUAAUGACAACUAUGAUUCGAUUUUGGAACGAAAGAGAUUAAAAUCAUAUGUUCAAUGAAAGAUAUGAAAAAAAUUAAUGUUCUUGAGAUGAAAAUAGUAACUCGUUGUAAUAAUAAGGGUUAAAUAUGUUUUUAGUCCCUAUAAAUAUGUCAAAUUUUCGUUUUAGUCCCUCUAAAAUUUUCCUUCAACUUUUAGUCCCUAUAAAAUUUUCAAUCACUACUUUUGGUCCCUAUUUUUAAUUUAAUUUUUGCAUUUUUUAAUGAAAUUGUGCAGAAAUGUGUCAAAUAUUCUAAAAACAAUUCCUAAAAACAAAUUAGAUUUUUUUAACAAAACACAAAUUAAAUAUGAAUUUUUAACCAUAAACAAUAUAAAAAUUCAUAUUAAAUUCAUGUUUUGUUAAAAAAUUCUAAAUUUUUUUUGGAGUGAUUCUUAUAAUAUUUUUAAUUUUUCUGAAAUUUUUUAUUAAAUAAUAUGAAUUCUACAUAUGAGUUUACUUUAAAAGAGGGACCAAAAGUGAAGAUUGAAAACUUUAUAAGGACUAAAAGUUGAAGAAAAAUUUUAGAGGGACUAAAACGAAAAGUUGACAUAUUUAUAGGGACCAAAAACAUAUUUAACCCUAAUAAUAAAAUGAAAAAAAAAAAGAGCUUUUUCUUUGAUAGGGUUAUAUUAUUACCCCUAACUCAUCGAGGGGUAAUGUAGUAAAAAUCUUAACAUGUUUUAUGUAUAUUUGAAGUUUUUUCUUCCUUUUUUUUAAGUCCAUCGGAAGCUAUUUUCGGAUGCCAUCAAAAACUAUGUUUUGAUUAACUUGUAUCAUCUUUGAUACAUUUUUUCUCACCAAACCUAAUAUAUAUAAAAUUACAAUAAACAUUUUUUCCAUCGAUUGUACAAAUAGGUCAAACGCAACUUCAAUUAUAAAAGUUAAACAAACAGUACAUAAAAUAUAAAAACAAUGAAUUAAAUGAAAUUACAACUCAAUUUGAAUGAACAUAUAUGUAGAUCGGUCCCUUUUUACCUUCAUCGAUCCAAAACGUGGACUGUACAUCAAUUUGAAUGAACAUAUACGUAGAUCUUGUUUUAACAAAAAAAAAAAUCGUUUAUGGAACCAACUCAUAAGAAGGAGAGCUUGUAUAAGCAUUUGCUCACACUUCAUUCCAAAUAAGCAUGUUUUUUUUAGCAUCACUUGCUAUUAGGCAAAAAAAAAAGAUUUUAUUGGAAAUGCUCUAGCCAUGUGUUUCAGGCGUCACAAAUAAAAACACGGCGUUAACAACAUGCUGAUAAAACACGGCUUUAUCCUAACCUUUUUUUUUUUUGGCUUUUGAGAUUUAUUUUGCAUGAAAGAACAAAUAAAAAGGGUGACUUCGUAAAGACCUCAGACAGGCCGAUCAACGGUUGAAAUUCCUAAAUAUUACGGUUGAAAUUCCUAAAUAUGCAGGAUUUCCCAUGACGGAAAAAUCAAUAAGGUUGAAAUUCCUACAAUGUACGACUUCCUACGACGGAAGAAUCAACAAGGUUGAAAAAUCCUAAAUAUGCAAGACUUCCCACGACGGAAGAAUCGACAAGGUUGAAAUUCCUAAACAUGUGAAGAUUCCCCAAAGGGGAGCACCCCGAUUAAACAAGUUAUGAAUACUUCCCAAAGCAAACGACUACCUAGUUUAAGAACAAGCACAUAAGAAAACAUUGAAACAAAAAUAAACAAGGAGCUAAAGUACUAAGGGACUUCGCCCAUAUAUAGACAUCAUCCAAAGAAGAGAAAACAACUCGAUGUAUUCGAUAAAAAACAGGAGCUCGCCUAUCUACCGGUUAAAUAUGACCAGGGUUAAACUUAACCACACUGCCCUUACAAGCCUCGUGCUUGGGGGGUUGUGGACCUACAUAAAUGAAUAUAUCCAUAAAAGGGCGGUGAGCUCACCCUAGUUGUUUGAUAUGAAUAAAACAACUCGCCACAAUCUAUCAAAUAGGAACGGCCACGCCAACUCAUAGGAAAAAAAACAUAUGAGAAAAGGGCUAAUAAGACGCCCCCAAAAAAUCCUUUAAAAGUCUCGUCACUUUGCCGUAUGCAUGGGGGCUUUGAAACUUCGUGAAAGUAUAGCCCUAAGGGGCGACAAAGCCAUAUGAAACUCACCACAAUUAAAAUCACUUCGCCCUUACAUGACUCGUGCCUAGGGGGUUGUGAACCACCAUAUUUAUAAAAGAAGGCUCGUUGACCUUAAAAAACACCGCCCCUGAAAAAUACCUUUGGGCUUCUUUUAGACGAUAUCUAACUUAAACCACUUCGCCUUGUUCCAAGACUCAUGUUUGGGGGGGCUUGUGGACCGUUAAUCUCAUUAUAAACCACUUCGCCUUGUCCCAAGACUCGUGCUUGGGGGGCUUGUGGACUGAUAAUAUCUAGAUAUAGGCACGACACCCUUCGUAAGGGCCAAAAUAGCCUUAGGCGAGCCCCUCUAGAGCGCCACCUUAAAAGAGCUUCUAGAAGCAUCUAGAACGUUGCAGGCGUGUCUUGGGCUAUAAGUUACUUAGGGCCUAAGUCACAUAAAUACAAGCCCAAGAACAGCUAUAAAUACUCACCUUAAAAAUCAUUCUCAAGACACGACCUAAACAAUUAUAAACCCUAAUUUAGAUAUUGUACUCACUGCAAAUACAAUAACUAAAUUAAAACUACCAUGUUUAACUGCAAUCAUAUGGAGUUACCUGUCCAUAAGUUGUUCUCUGGGAGGUGCAAGAGGAAGGGCUCCAUCAUAUUUCCCUCUCCAUUCAACUUCACCACCUGCAUACUUCUUUAAGCACUUUCUAAAACCAAUCACAAGUCUUUGUUGGCAAAAACAUGCCUUAUGCCAAUUGGCUUGACCAACAUCCAUUAUUUUUUUUCCUUUCAAAAGAAAUAAUUACAUUUCAAUCAUAAAAGCUUAAACAAGUGUGUAUUUGUUCAUCAACAUAUAGUACUAAUGACUUAUUUCUUAGAUACAAAUGAGUUAAAAUCUUCAUCAACAAUUAGAAUAGGAUAUGGUGGGAAACAAUUUGACGAGGCGUGGUUGUAGUCAUGGUAACAGAAGUUUUUGUAUAUGAAGUGCGCUAACAACCGCCACAACGCGAAUGAAAGUACCGCCAACACAACCAUUGAAUUUCUUGUUGUAGUUGAAACCAAACCCUGCUUCAUUGUGGCAACAAUCCCAAUUGAAGCAACUGAUAUGAUCUGCAGCAUCACUUCCACCACACUGAGGCUCUUAUAGGCAAGAUUGCAACUCUUGCAAUUCACCACAUGACUCCAGUACCUGUUCAAAUUUAAUAAUUUGAAAUGAAGAACAUGGUACAAAUACCUAAUGCAAUCAAUAAUUUUUUAAUAUUGCUCUAUUUAUAAUUUUAUAUUUGAAAAAUUAUUGGUUUAUGCUUGACUUAAGUAAAGUUCUUCACUUGAAAUCACGAUUAUCAAAUUGAGAUUCAAAUCGUGAAUCAAGAAGAUGAAUUUUUUGAAUUGUGAAUCGAAUCUUAUUAUAAAUCGUAAGAUACAUUACCAAGAAAACUAAAACAUUUUAAAGUAAAAACACGUGACAUAACAAAAUUAUAAGUUGAUAUAUCAUACAUGAGUCUCAAAACAAUUUAACAUUCAAGUCAUAAAUCAAUUCACAUAAGAAAAGUGGCAAGCUAUACAAAGUUGACAACAAAAAGAAGCUGACUACACUAGGUAGUGAUUCACUAGAAUAAAUCAAGAUUCAUCGUAAUGAAUUAGAAUUCAAGAUGAGAAUCACGUCCAAAGUAGAUAUACACUAGAGAUUCAUAUCGAUUGAGUUCAAUUUGUGUUGAAUCGAGAUACAAUUCACAUGUAUCGUACGAUACUCAUAACCAUACUUAAAACUUUACAUAUUAAAGGAAAAUCGUUACUAUUUUUGACAUAUAACUAAAUUAAAACUAUCCCUCAAAAAAACUAAAUUAAAACUACCAUGUUUACUUGCAAAUCACAUGUGAGUUACCUGUCCAUAAGCUGUUCUCUGGAAGGUGUAGGAGGAAGGGCUCCAUUAUAUUUUCCUCUCCAUUCAACUUGAUCACCUGCAUACUUCUUUAACCACUUUCUAAAACCAAUCACAAGAGCAUCUGCCUUUGUUGGAACAAAACAUGCCUUAUGCCAAUUGGCUUGACCAACAUCCAAUAUUUUCUUUUCCUAUCAAAAGAAGUAAUUACAUUUCAAUCAUACAAGCUGAAACAAAUGUGUAAUUCGUUCAUCAGCAUAUAGUACUAAUACUAAUGACUUAUUUCUUAGAUACAAUUGAGAUAAAAUCUUCAUCAACAAUUUGACCAGGAUAAGGUAGGAAACACGAGUUUUCGGUUUGCAUCUAACCUGAAAAGUACUGUUGCUCACCCCCAUACUAAGAAAAAUGGAUGGAGCCUAUUAAAGUUUUUUUUUUAUUUUUAAAAAAGUAUAUUAUUGUCGAGCCUAUUUUCUUUUUUAUAUCUUUAUUUUGGUAAAUCCUAUUUUGUGAUAAGGAAACUUAAGUAACCAAUCUUUCAUAAUUCAAGAAGUCCGUAUCAAGAAUCAAUUACGCAGAUGUACAGAUAGAUGAAUAAUUUGUGCAUAAAUACAAUGAUAAAUCCAACCUAGCAACUACUGUGCAUAUAAAUAUCAACUAAUAAAGUAACCAGAAGAAACAAAAAAAGUGAUAUAUUGAAAAAAGGCAGUGAUUGAAUUUGAUAUUGUUAUGUAAUAGUACUAGCUAAUAUGUUUUUCCAACUGAUCGAACCAAACCAACUAAUCAACGGGGCAAAUGAAUUAUCUAUUCUAUUCUAUAUUAGCAAAAAGACGGACACCUAAAAAUAUAAAUGAUUUUUUAUUUAUUUUUUAAUUGUGCUAACGUUGAAAAUUUAUGAACAAUAUUCUUUUAAAUGAAAUUUUGGAUUUGAUUAAAAGUCAAAAAUAUAAAUGAUUUUUUCUUUCAAAUUAUAAUAAAUAAACUAACUAUAAUUAACUAUUUCGAUGACACCAACAAUAUAACAAAAAAAUAUAAUAUAAAUUCUUAUUUUUUUAAGGACACCAACAACAAAUUAUAGAAAAAAGUUGUUUACGGGUAUAAUUUGGAUAAUAAAAAAAUAAGUAUAAAUACACUCAUCUAAUUUGUUACAUUUUUUAAAGAAUAAAUGGAUAAAAAUUGAGAAUAUAUAUCAUAUCGUGUUUGUUAUAUUUUUUUAAUUUUUAAAUUUAUUCUUAUCUAUUUGUUACAAUUGUUAUUUGUAUUGAAUAUUAAAAGCAUUUUUGGAAAGAGAAAAAACCAACUCAAAAGAGCUGAAAGAGAUUAUUGGUGUCAUUGAAAUAGAUAAUCAUAGUUAGUUUGAUUUUUUUUUUUUUUUUGACAAGAUUAGUUUGGUUUGUUACAACUUCAAUGCAAUAAACAAUUAUAUUUUUAGUUUCAAUUAAAAUCAAAAUUUGAUAAAAUAUAUGAUUCAUAAUUUUCAAACGUUAGCGUAAUAAAAAGAACUAAAAAAGAAUUGUAAUGGAAGAACUCCCACUUAUUUUCUCCUUCUUUAAGAAGUCGGCCCUAAUUUUUUCUCUUUAGGUUUUUUCUUCCAAUUUCUUCAUUGAGAGGGUGGUUUUGGGUCAAUUUUUGACAUAAAAUCACUCAUCUUCAUCUUUUUCUCUCUAUUUCAAUUUAAAUAAGUGAUUUUCACAUAGAUCUAGGUUUUUUCUUCGUGAUUUCAUCAUCUAAGUGUGGUGGUUUGUUGUUCGUCGUCUUGUGCGACGUUGUUUGAUUUUCCGUCUUCUUGCGGUGUUCGUUUGAUUCAUAUUGAAUGAUCGAUUAUUCACUCAAAGAUUUAGGCAUGAACGUUGCAGAUCCGGAUGCAUGGAUAUUCCGGUCACUUUAGUUUUAUCAUAUAUUUUUGUAGGCAUUAUGCCAUUAUACGCUAUUAAUUUAGAUGUAGUGAGUUUGAAUGAUGUAAUCUCUCAACUUAAAUGAAUGAAUAUCAUUUUGUUUUUGUCAACUAAAAAAACGAAAAGACGAACACGGCGCGCUAGUAUAUACUACUAUAAAAGAAAUUACCUCAACAUGGAGAAGAUAUAAAUCUGAAUCUAUAAUCAAGUUUUGUCCAAUAUGAAAAAUCCAUCGCGGUACAAUUUUGUCAAUCCAUAGCCCAAAGUUUCUUGGGAAGCACCAAAUCAGUCUGCUGUUACCGGGACUCACAGGAAUACAAAAAAAUAUCAAAGCAAAUUUCUUCUGAACUGAUGAUUUCUGCAUUAAAAUAUAUUAUGUAACGCCCAUAUAAAAUUUGAUGCACAUUUUUCGUAAUAUAAGUAAGGAUCAUAGCUACUCAAUUUAUUACCUUAGUUUCUUCAGAAGAUACAGGUUUAAUUAGAUCAGUAUAAGCAUAAAAGAUGCUUGGUGGCAUAAAUUUGCUUUUGCUCCAACCCUGAUUUUCUGUGAAGCCGUUGACAUCUAACUCUUCAAUUGACAAUUCAAGUGGUCUUCCUCCUUCUCUAUCAGCUUUCACUGUUAAGUUAAUUAUGUAAGUGUCAUAUAUAAAACAAUAGGAAUUUACUGAAGUUAAAUGAUUUAUCAUAUAUGCAUAUACCUUUUGGUUGUGGAGUUUUCAUUAAUCCAUAGUGUGCAUAUGGAACAUGUGAAGGGUCCAUGAGGUUUUCAACCAGUACCUCAUACCUGAAAUUGCAUAUUCAAUUAACUAAAAAAAUAUAAUAAGCAAAUAAUAUGGUUUUUUGGUUUAAACAUGUUUGCAGUCCUUAUAAAAUCACAGAUCUUUUAAGUUUAGUUCUUUAAAAAGAAUAUUCAUUUAGCCUCCACCAUAUAAAUGUAUUUUUACUAAAAGCACCAUGUUUUUAUCAAAUGUGGAGACUAUAAACAAAUAAAAAUUUAUAGGGACUAAACUCAGAAAAUCAAUAUUUUAUAAAGACUAAACAUAUUUAACUCAUGUUUUCUUAAUUAGGUCUAACAUGUAAGUUACUGUCAGGGGUAUGCAUAAUGUAAUGUUUUCAAAAUUAAAAUCAUACCCAUAAGGAAUAUCUCUGUUUCCCAUAAAGCUAGUAAAAGAAGGAUCAUCAAUUUCUGGUAUGAAUGGGGGUGUUUUCCUUGUAAUAAUAUCUUUGUAUUGAGGAUCAGUAUUUGGCCAAAACCACAAGAUAUCAUUCUGCACAGUGCUUGGAUAAGCAGCUACACAUGCUUUUUUGGACGUAUGAAUCUGAAAAGAAAAAGUUUUUGCAAAACUAAAUGAGGAUAGCAAGAUAACAAAACAAACAUUGUGAAGAAUCAAUUUAAUUAGUGCAACACAUCUUUAUUCCAUAGUUCUGAUUGUUUGUUAAAGGGAUUGCAACUAGAAGAAAUUUAAUUGGUACUAGUAGUUACACUUUUAAAUGUGGUUUUGGAUAUGUAACACCGACACUUCAGAUAUGGAAGACGUGUUGAGUGUAUGAACGAUAUCGAUACAUAUAGUUACAUUCAAUCAUUUUCUAUUUUCAAUUAUUAUCAGUGUCAACAUGUAGUUUUAGUAUUAGGUUUGAUGUUUGUGUUGGUAUUUCGUAGGUUUUGGCCAAUUGCUACACAAGUAUUCAAUUUCUAAAACACAUAAUAGCAAUAAAAGGACUAUUUCAAUAUUAUUAUGUUUUUUUUUUUUUUGUCGUUUUACUCUUAUUUACAUGUGUCAAGAAAACUAAUAAAAUGAAAUUGUUUGUCUUUUUCCUACAAUACCCUAAACCAUUUCUUAUCUCAUUUCAUCUAAUUCUCUUUAUGCAAUAAAUAGUUAAGUUGUUACUGACAAAAUACAGUUAAUGUUGCAUUGAACUUUUUCCAAACUACAAAAGAAUAAGAACAAUUUUUUCUUCAAAAGCGACGGUUAAAAAUGUAUCGAAGGGAGUAGUUACCGGAGGUCCUUCAGGAGGUGCCUGAGGAAUGAACUUGCAAUCACCUGAUCCAUUAAAACACCAACCAUGAUACACACACUGUAACCUACCCCAUUGAUCAAUCCUUCCUUCAGACAAAGGUGCUAAUCUAUGAGGACAAGCAUCAUCAAAAACUUGCCAUGCACUCUCAUUCCUAUCCCACCAUAUAACAACAUCAAUUCCCAUCACCUUCUUAGCAUGAGGUGCCCUUUUGUCAAGAUCACAUAUUGGCAUCAAAGGAUACCACUGUGAGUACCAGUCAAAUUUCUCUGAACCUGUUUCAACUUCUGGUUCAUCAUCCACUUCAAGGUUACUACUACUAGACUCUGUUAACGGAGAAGGUGAUAAGGCAGUGAAAAGCUUGAAUUUUGAAGUGUUCCCACGAAUUAAUGGAAGUGUUGAAUGGAUUUGUGACUUCAAGAACAUGGAUUUUUUUAAUGGGGUUUGUGUUUUAUGUGCUAUUGGGAUGUGAAGUGAACGAAGAGAAAAAGCUAACAUAGCUUCCACUGUUCCCUUGUCCAAAAGAAGAAAGUGAUCAUUAAAACUUUACUCAGAAUGUCUCUUAUAUAUAAAUAUGAUCGAAUAUAUCAACUUUUGUCAACCAAAAUAUCUCUUAUAAUUAUGACCAAAAGAGUAGAAGUACCGAUUUCCAAAAAUGAAGUUAAAUAAAAGAAACAUAGAGUAGGAAAACACAGGGGAGAGAUGCAUGUAUUAUUUAUAAAUACAUGAUUGUCUAACAUGUACAAUAUUGCACAUGUUAAAACAUUUAAAAUAACAACUUUUAUUUAUUGAAAACAACAAUUAUUUGUUAAAAAUUAUAUAUUUAAUACAAAAUACACAAGUUUCAAUGUAAACUUAAUAUUUUAAACUUCUUCACAUGUGAAAUUUUUGCACAUAAUAAAAAAUCCUUAUAAUAUUCAAUUUAGUUACCUAGAUUGUAUAGGGUGGAUAUCGAAAAACUAAGAAAAUAAGUGGGGGCACUUGCCUUGACUUGGGACUUGGGAGUUUGCUCCUCCUCGAGGUCUCAGGAUCGAUACUCUCUGGUGUCAAUUUUGAUGAAUUAAUUUAGCUUCUUCAAAAAAAAAUGGGGGCACUUGCCUCCAAAAGAAUCAAUGUGGCUCCACCCCUUAGUGCUAAACACCAAAAAUAAAAGAGAGAAGUUGAAACACAUUUUUUGCGUUCAUUUGUAGUACUUUGUCCUAUAUUAAGUGACACAGUUGACUCUAUCACACAUACAAAUGUAUACUCCCUCCAGUCCUUAUUAUAAGAAAAAUAUGACCUUUUAGGUUCAUAGAAUAAUUAAUGUAUCUUAUUGUAAAUAUAGAUUAGAUACAUCACUUAUACAAUGAACCAAAAAAGUUAAUUGUUUCUUAUAAUAAGGACCGGAGGGAGUAUAUUUUAUCUUUAAUAUCUUCAAUUCUCUAUUAGAAAAAAUUAGGAUAAUUUAAUAUUUUAAAAAUAUUUAUUGAGACGAAUCUAACAAUAUCUUAUAUGAUAUUAUUUAUCUUUGUAUAUUAAUAGAAAAAUAUGAUCAAAAUAUAUUAGGUCAAUAAUGCACAUUGUCAAAUUGGUAUCUAUUGCGGGAGAGGGGGAGUAACAUCCUAAGGAGUGUCAUUUUAACAAAGAUAUCAACUAUUUAUUUUCAAUGAGGUAAAUAAAGUUUGAUGGAGCUCUUCCGAUUAUUUCAAACGAUUCGUUCUUUGAUAAAGUUUCUUAAUUAUUUCAGUUCAAUUAUUUAAUUAAAUGUAUUAUCUAAUUAGUACUAUAAACACCACUUUUAAAAUAUUAUAUUUAACUUUGUAUUUAUGAUAAAAAGAAACAAAUCGAUAGUUAAUAAUGUUAAUUUGGUAAAAUAAUUGUUUUCUUCUACUUACUUGUACUUUUCUACCCGUACUUAUUGUAUUAUUUAAUACGCAUAUAAAAAAUUUAAACAAAAUUCAUUUUGAAACAAUCGAUAUGUAAAAAUGUUAAUGAGUCUUAACUAAGUAUAAAAAAUAUGUGUUGAAAAAAUGAGGUAUUCAACAUUUUAAAAAAUAUUGUCACAAAAAAAUAUAUCUGUGACUAACAUUUGUUAGCAUGAAAAAAGUAGAGCUCUUGCAUUUGAUCACUUUUAAUUUUUCAUCGUUUAUUUAACAUAUUAUUUUCUUUGUAAUAUUUUUUUAUCAUAUUAUCAAUUUAUAACAUAUAUUAUAUCCCUUUAUUCAGGGUCGUAUAUGAGGCAGGAUGACGAGGACGAUCGUUCUAGACUAAAAAAAAGUUCAAAAUUUGGACCCAAAAUAUAAAAUUAAGGGGUCAAAGUAAAAAAAUAUUUUGUAAAAAAAAAAAGUAAAAAAAUAUAUUAGGGAAUGUUAAAACCAUACAUUUUAAUUGAAAAAAGACAUACUAAAAAAUUGAAUAUCACAUUUCCCAACGUAAUAAAAACUAUCAUCUCAAAGAAAAUUAUUUUCACACUUUAGAAUUCAAAUUAUUAUUUUCAUAUAUAUUUAUUAGUUAGGGACUAAAUUAUAGGUUUGUCUCUUGAUCACCAUAAACUCAAAAACGGUCAGGCCUCUCUUAAUACUAUUUUAACGACCAUUUUUUCAGGAAGAGCAUUGUCUCGGUUGAAAAGCAUGAAAUUUUUCCUAUCCAAGGGUAACGACAAUGAAUAAGCUCACUUUUAUUUAUCAACCACAUUGUCAGGGAAAUGUACGUCCAUAUUUUGUCAGUAUUCUACAACUCAUCAUGUGAUGACGAUGAUGUGCUAUACCAUAGCCUAUAGCAUGUCGUUUGUUUUGGAUUUUUUUUUUCAAAAAAGAUCUAUUUUUUCUUUAAAAAAAAAUCACUUUUUUUUUUAUUUUGAGGUGUUUAUUUAAGAUUUUUAGAAAAAUCAUUAUAUAUAAAAAAAAUCUAUUUUGAUCCUAAAAUUCGAUUUUGAUAAAUUACACACUAUUCAAGAGAAAAAACCGAUUUAAUUAUUUUUUCUUUUGACAAAAAAAAACGAUUUAAUUAUUGUUAUCAAUUAUUAUCAUUGUUAUUGUGGUAAAUAGGAAACAUAGAGAGGGUGUUGGUAUGGGUGUGGGGAAUUGGGUUGGUGAUAAUAUUGACGGACUGUGGGUGAUGAAUCUUCUAUGCUCUUUUGGAUAGAUCUUUAGAUUGAUAGAGAGACGUUAAGUGUGAGGUUCAAAAGGUUGUAUGAGUUAUCUGAUAAUCAAAUGGCGACGAUUAGGGAGAUGAAAACUAUAGAUGGGGGAGAGGUAAAAGAGACGUGGGCUUGGAAGAAGGAGACUAAUCUAUUGGUAUGGGAGGAGGAUUAGAGUGUUGUGAACUGUUAAAUUCUAUUGUUUUGUAGGAUUAAGUGGCAGAUAAACGAGUAUGACAGUUACAUCCAUCAAAAGGCUAUUCUAUAAGUCGUGCUUAUUCCCUAAAAAAGAAAUUGUGCUUAUCGGUAACUACAAUCUUGGACUCAAAAGUGGUUCCUCUCAUGGUUAACACCGAAUGGCUUGGUAUCAUCAAAGACUUUUUGUGUGUCUGGGUGGUUUUUCAAAGAUUGUUCGUUUGGCUAUGAACAUAAUUUGGCCCCUCUCUAGAUGGCAGUGGAAAAAUGCAAACUUUAAGCAACAAAAAAAUUACUUUUGUUGGUCUAAAAUAUAAGCAAAUGUUGGCCACUUAUGCUAUACACCUAAAUUACCCUUCAAAUAAUGUAGAUCAUAAUUUUGAAUGAGGUGCAAUUUAGAAAAUGCAAUCAUUUAUCAAACGAGUUCAACUACUUUAUCCGUUGUUGCUAAGACGAAUGUCAGCAACACACACUCUCUUUGAUUGGUUAAAAUUCACACGGUCCCACCAAAUCAUGUGAGUCUCAUAUAAAUUUGGUGGGUCCUAUGUGAAUUUUAAUCAAUUAAAGAGAAUGUGUUGAAAAGUGUGUGUUAGAAUGUAUGAUGUUAACAUUUCUCUCUGUUGCUAAUAUGAGAACAGAGUGAGUACCAGAUUAUACAUUUCGGGCAACAACCCUACCAGGAAUUUGUCAUUGAAGGGAGGAAGGUCCUAUUAUAUGACACUAACAAAUGCCAGAGAAUAUAAUGAAAAAAUCACAAGUCAUACAUGACAUAAUCAGAUAACCGAUGAAAAAGAUAUGAUAAUUACACAACCACGAUAACAUAGGUUAACGCAAUCCAAUGAUGGGCAGAAGGAACGCUAGCCCAACAAAAUAAUAUAACUCAAAUUAAAAUAAAUACUUCGUAAAUUAACAAAUAUUUUUGACAAAAUUGGAAUGGUAAAUGAACAAAAUUCGUCAGGACUAAAGGAUAAUUCAACUUCAGUACUUCGUGAAUUAAAUCCACUCCCCCAAGAAAAGAACCUGGGACCUUUGCUGCAAUAAACAUCAUUUAAUAAGGUCUAAAUUUCCUAGCAGCUCUCAACUGUCGCAGACGUUUUUUAUCCUCUUCAAAUUUGCUUUGCAAUUCCAUUAGCUCUGCAAGCAAAACAUGAAUGGUUUAUCUCAGUUUGAUCAUCGUAAAAACGAUUUUGAACAAUUACGUGCUAAUUUAAGACAGUGUCUAGGGGUGAGGAAAAAUGGGGUAAAGCCGUAAAGCAUGAAUGAGCCUCACAAAAAAUCAUAUAAUUUUUAAGGUGUUCCAAUCAACAAGAUAUCGAUCAUUUCGUGACAAUCUAGACACAUUAUUUACUAGUGUGUUUUUGUGCAUAGAAUCUUAAUUUACUGGCAGAAGGAUUUUGAAUCAUAGAAACCAAGAUAUUAGGGAAGUGAGAAACAUAACAGAAGAUAGGGUAAUGCAAAUUUUGAUGCAACUAUAAGAUAUGUUGCAUGCUAAUGCAACCUAAUUAUAGCAAAACAAGUCAUACCAUUUCUCUGAGCUUCUCUUUCUUGAAAGCGGUAGAAAUCUUGAUGAACUCCUGUAUGUUUCUUUUUGGCCAAUUUAUUCUUUGCAGCAGCUUGAGCAACCGAGCCCCUUGUGGUGCCGAACCACCGUCCAUCCUCCUUCUGCAGCAAGGGCUUCUUUUGCUUUUCUUUCCUGCAUUGACCGAAAAAUAAUUGCAUGGAAAUUAACCAAAAUAAGUAACAGAUGUGGGUUCAUUCAUAAACUGAAUAUUGAAUAUGGAAGAUUAAACAACUUAAGGAAGAGAAAGGUGUUAGAACUUUGAGGGCAAGACAAUAUGAGAAGUGAAGCAUGAAGGAGGAAUAGGUCUAUAUUGGGUUGUUUUGUUUUCCUUUAUGUUUGUUCCAUGGCUCAUUAAGGUACCCAUUUUGGAUGUCAUGGUCAAAGUUAUACUGGGAAGUAAUUUAUAUUUGCAUUCUAAGUUAUUAUGAAUGGCAAAUUCUACUGUACACCCAACAACAUAUUUGAGUGUACCGGUACACUAACCCUUUAAUUUUAUAGGUAAAUGAGUCGUUUUUUGAAGAAAAAUAUUAUUUUUUAUCAUUUAUAAUUAUAAUAAUUAAAUCUUAUUCAUCAAAAGUGUAAACAAAAUAAUUUUUUUUAAUUUAUAUCGCUCAUAAUAGAGAAUUUUGAUUAUUUUAUACGAUAAUAUGUAAAAAAAAUUAUACGAAUCUGAUGUAAGUUUGUAAAAAAACUAUUAUGAUUCUUAUCCAUAUGUAUUUUUUAUAGAGUUGUCUGCAAAAAUAGCUCAAAAUUCAGUUUCUAGGUCGACGUUAUGAUGUUUUGGUUUCUUGAGUUAUUGGCGUAUUAAAAAUUAAUAUUUAAUUCAUCCGUUGUUGGAAAAUUCUAAUUUUUUGUGGGAAAUGUUUUUUUUAUGUCCUUAACAUGUGUGAAAAAAAUAAUUAAAAAAUUCAACCUCUAUAUAAAUUUUCCGGACGUACAGUUGGAAAAAUAUUACGAUUUUACGCGUUUAAGUAAAAUAUUCAAAAUAAAUUGAGAAUUAGUCAAAAUACUACGUAAAUUUGCAGAUCAUCUAAAUGUAUUUUUAUAGAGGUGUCUGCAAAAAAAAAAACUCAAAAUUCAAUUUAUAGGUUGAUGUUUUGGUGUCUUGAGUUUUAGGCGCGUUAAAAAAACAAUUUUCUCUAUUUCAGAGAAAGUUCAACAAUGUGGGAGCCGAGCCGUACAAAAACAUAACAUAUUUUUAUUUUUCAUUUUGAAGAAGUCAAACUAGUCCAUCAAAAUUGACACCACAGAGAGUCGAACCUAAGACCUUGAGAGGAGCACGGUCCCAAGCCAACGUGAGCUAACCCAAGAGGAAUGACAUUUGACACCGUGAGUUAUAACUCACAUUGGUUUAACUCACGUUGGUUUUCGGAAAGUGACCGAACGUGACUUAAGUCAGGUAAGUUGUAUUCUAACGUGACUUAAGUCUGGGUAUAACACCUACGCGACUUAAGUCAUGUGGAGGUAUUUUCGUUAGUUUGUAUAGGAGUGAGAGAUUUUCGAUAGAAGAAGAGCAAUUUUCUUUGUUUUUUCCUUGAAAAAUUCUUUUCCCACCCUCCCUCCUUCUUGCGAGCUCUCCGUUUGAAGUUAUAAUCUUCCCUAGGUUACAUAUGAAUCACAAGUUUUUUUUUUUUUUUUCUUUUUCCUUUUUUAAGUCCAUCGGAAGCUAUUUUUUCGGUGCCAUGGGAUACGUUUUGAUGCAAACUAACAUCAGAUUCGAAACAUUUUUUCCCACUAAACAUAAUAUAAAAUUACAACAAACAUUUUUUUUCCCACUAAACAUAAUAUAAAAUUACAACAAACAAUUUUUUUUUUCAUCAAUCAUACAAAUAGGUCAACACAACUCAAAUUAUAAAAAAAAAAAAAAAAUCAAUUAAAAAAUUUGAUCAAGGGUCCAAAACUGCCAUAUUUUAAAAUCGAAGACCAAAUCCGCAAAAAGGUAAAAAUAAGGAGACCAAAAUUGCAAUAAAGCAUAAUAAAUAUCAAAAUCUCUAGAAAUUAUUUAUUUAUUUUUUUAUAGGAAAAAAAUGUCUAGAAAGUUAACAGUGCCCUCAUUCAUCCAACAAAGAAAAUAAGAAUUUGGGUCACUGUAAGAAAGUGUCACCUUUUCUGCAUGAUUUCUCCAAACAAAGCAACAUACAUCCCAUCACAUGUUCCACAACAGAAGGGAAAUUUUUUAGAGCAGGAUGUUAGCUUCAGGAAUUCAAAUUAAAUGGACUCAUCUCUUCAUGCUGUUGUUAUGUUCAUAUUUUAGCCACACAAAUGUUCCAACGCUCCUCUUAAGUACCAAUAAUUAAUGCCUUUGUCUUUGUAUAACUUCACUAUAUAUAUACACACACACAACAAAGUUGGAGAUUAACAACUAAGGAAACACAUUUCAGCGAAAGGCAUGGUUGUAGUCAUGGUAACGGAAGUUUUUGUAUAUGAAGUGAGCUAACAACCGUGACAACGCGAAUGAAAGUACUGCCAACAGAACCAUUGAAUUUCUUGUUGUAGCUGAAACCACACCCUGCUUCAUUGUAGCAACAAUCCCGAUUGAAGCAACUGAUAUGAUCUGCAGCAUCACUUCCACCACAUUGAGGCUCUUAUAGGCAAAAUUGCAACUCUUGCAAUUCACCGUAUGGCUCCAGUACCUGUUCAAAUUUAAUAAUUUGAAAUGAAGAAUAUGGUACAAAUACCUAAUGCAAUUAAUAACUUUUUAACAUUGUUCUAUUUAGAAUUUUAUGUUUGAAAAAUUCUUGUUUAUGCUUGACUUAAGUAAAGUUCUUCACUUGAAAUCACAGUUAUCAAUUUGAGAUUCAAAUAGUAAAUCAGAAAACGUGUUUUUCAAAUUGUGAAUCGAAUCUUAUUAUGAAUCGUAUGAUACGUUUACCAACAAAACGAAAACAUUUUAAAGUAAAAACAGGUGAUAUAUCAAAAUUAUAAGUUGAUAUAUCAUAUGAGUCUCAAAGCAAUUCAAGAUUCAAGUCAUAAAUCAAUUCACAUAAGAAAAGUGGCCAGCUAUACAAAGUUGACAAUAAAAAGAAGCUGACUACACUAGGUAGUGAUUCAAUAGAAUAAAUUGAGAUUUAUCAUAAUGAAUCAGAAUUCAAGAUGAGAAUCGUGUCAAAAAUAGAUAUGCACUAGAGGUUCAUAUGAUUGAGUUCAAUUCUGUACUGAAUCGAGAUACGAUUCACAUGUAUCGUAGGAUACUCAUAACCAUACUCAAAACUUCACAUAAUAAAGGAAAAUCGUUACCAUUUUUGAGAUAUAACCAUGUUUAAAUGCAAUCAUACGUGAGUUACCUGUCCAAAAGUUGUUCUCUGGGAGGUGUAGGAGGAAGGGCUCCAUUAUAUUUUCCUCUCCAUUCAACUUCACCACCUGCAUACUUCUUCAACCACUUUCUAAAACCAAUCACAAGAGCAUCUGCCUUUGUUGGAACAAAACAUGCCUUAUGCCAAUUGGCUUGACCAACAUCCAUUAUUUUUUUUUCCUAUCAAAAUAAUUUAGUAACAUUUCAAUCACACAAGCUGAAACAAGUGUGAAUUUGUUCAUCAGCAUUUAGUACUAAUGAAUUAUUUUUUAGAUACAAUUGAGAUAAAACCUUCAUCAACAAUUAACCAAGAAAAGGUAGGAAACAUGAGUUUUCAGUUUGCAUCUAACUUGAAAAAGUACUAUUGCUCACCCCAGACUAAGAAAAAUGGAUGGAGCCUAAUAAAGUUUUUUUUUUUUUUAAAUUGUCAAACCUAUUCUGUGAUAUCUUUAUUUUGGUAAAUCCUAUUUUGUGAUAAGGAAACUUAAGCAACCGAUCUGUCAUAAUUCAAGAAGUUGGUAUGAAGAAUCAAUUAUAAUGUAUAGAUAGAUGAAUAAAUUGAGCAUAAAUACAAUGAUAAAUCCAACCUAGCAACUACUGUGCAUAUAAAUACCAAGCAUUUUAGUAAAUAUAUCAUCAAUUAAUAUUUUAAUCAGAAAUUUCACUGCAAUUUACCUAAUAAGGUAAUCAGAAAAAAAAAAAAAAAAGUGAUAUAUUGAAAAAUGUCAGUGAUUGAAUUUGAUAUUGUUAUUUAACAGAACUAGGUAAUAGUAUAUUUUUUCAACCACUCUUUAAGAUAGCAUAACUGAUUGAAACAACUAAUCAACAGGCCAAAUGAAUUCUAUAUUAUAAUAGAAAUUACCUCAACAUGGAGAAGAUAUAAAUCUGAAUCUAGAAUCAAGUUUUGUCCAACAUGAAAAAUCCAUCGCGGUACAAUUUUGUCAAUCCACAACCCAAAGUUUCUUGGGAAGCACCAAAUCAGUCUGCUAUUACCGGGACUAACAGGAAUACAAAUAAAGAUCAAAGCAAAUUUCUUCUGAACUGAUGAUUUCUGCAUCAAAAUAUAUUUUGUAACGCCCACAAAAAAAUUUGAUGCACAUUUUUCGUAAUAUAAGUAAGGAUCAUAGCCACUCAAUUUGUUACCUUAGUUUCUUCAGAAGAUGCAGGUUUAUUUGGAUCAGUAUAAGCAUAAAAGAUGCUUGGUGGCAUAAAUUUGCUUUUGCUCCAACCCUGAUUUGCUGUGAAACCGUUGACAUCUAACUCUUCAAUUGACAAUUCAAGUGGUCUUCCUCCUUCUCUAUCAGCUUUCACUGUUAAGUUAAUUAUGUAAGUGUCAUAUAUAAAACCAAAUAGGAAUUUACUGAAGUUAAAUGAUUUAUCAUAUAUGCAUACCUUUUGGUUGUGGAGUUUUCAUUAAUCCAUAGUGUGCAUAUGGAACAUGUGAAGGGUCCAUGAGGUUUUCAAUAAGUACCUCAUACCUGAAAUUGCAUACUCAAUUAACUAGAAAAAUAUACUAAGCAAAUAAUAUGGUUUUGUGGUUUAAAUAUGUUUGCAGUCCACAAAAAAUCACAGAUUUUUAAGAUUAGUUCCUGUAAGAAAAAAUGGGUCCUGUUAACGAGUGCACCCGGGACACUCUUUAGGAUUUAAAAAUAAGAAAUUAUUUCGUAAAAAAGUCAAAUAUUUCAAUUUCCAAGGCAAUGAUCAGACAAAUUUCCAUAAAAAGUUACCAUUUAAAAAUUUUAAAAGUGUCUCGAGGGCACUCGUUAACAUUUCCCAAAAUAAAUUAUUCAUUUAGUCUCCACCUUUUGUCAAACAUGGAGUCUAAAAACAAAUAAAAUUCCAUAGCGACAAAACUCAGAAGAUAGAUAUUUUAGAGACUAAAAACAUAUUAACACACGUUUUCUUAGGGCCUAGCAUGCAAGUUAUGCAUAAUGUAAUGUUUGUGUGUUUUCAUCUCCCAGAUUCAGAUCAAAUAAUUAUACUUACCAAUUACCAUUACCAAUCACAAAAAACCAUCACAUUAAGUUAUGCCAUAUAUAAAUGUGUUUUUUUAGGCAAAAAAAAAAAUUAAACUAGUGCAAAAGUUUAAUUCCGAAUCCCAUUAGAGUUCUACAAAAGAAAUGUAAUAUUUUAUUAGAAUUGAAGUCUUACCCAUAAGCAAUAUCUCUGUUUCCCAUUAAGCUAGUAAAGGAUGGAUCAUCGAUUUCUGGUAUGAAUGGGGGUGUUUUCCUUGUAAUAAUAUCUUUGUAUUGAGGAUCACUGUUUGGCCAAAACCACAAGAUAUCAUUCUGCACAGUGCUUGGGUAAGCAGCCACGCAUGCUUUUUUGGACGUAUGAAUCUGCACAUUAUUUUUAUGCAAAAGUAAAUGCAUAUUACAAGAUAACAAAACAAACAAUGUGAAGAAUCAAUUUACUUCAACUAGAAGAAAUUUAGUUGGCAGUCCUUAGUAGUUACACAUCUAAAUGUGUUCUCCGAUAUGUUGCACUGACACUUCAAAUAUGGAAGACGUAUUCAGUGUCUGACACGACUCCGACACAUGUAGUUACAUUCAGUCAUUCCAUAUAUUCAAUUAUUAUCAGUAUCAACAUGUAAAUGUCAGUAUUGAGUUUGAUGUUUGUGUCGGUGAUUCAUAGGUUCUGGCCAUUUGCUACACAAGGAAAGAAGCACAAAAAGUACUCAAUUUCUAAGCCACAUAACAGCAAUAAAACAUCUAUUAUUCUGUUUCUUUUUAUUUGUUGUUUUACGCUUAUUUACUCGUAUCAAGAAAUCUAAUAAAUUUUGUUACUUUUGAUAGAAUUGUUUGUUUUUCCUACAAUACCAUGAGUUAUUUGUUAUCUCAUUCCAUCUAAUUCUAUUCCUGCAGUCAAUUGUUAAGUUGGUAACUGACAAAACAAUAGUUAAUGUUGCAUUGAACUUGAAAACUACAAAUGGAAUAAGAGUUAAUUUUUCUUCAAAAGCGACGGUUAAAAAUGUAUCGAAGGGAGUAGUUACCGGAGGUCCUUCAGGAGGUGCCUGAGGAAUGAACUUGCAAUCACCUGAUCCAUUAAAACACCAACCAUGAUACACACACUGUAACCUACCCCAUUGAUCAAUCCUUCCUUCAGACAAAGGUGCUAAUCUAUGAGGACAAGCAUCAUCAAAAACUUGCCAUGCGCUCUCAUUCCUAUCCCACCAUAUAACAACAUCAAUUCCCAUCACCUUCUUAGCAUGAGGUGCCCUUUUGUCAAGAUCACAUAUUGGCAUCAAAGGAUACCACUGUGAGUACCAGUCAAAUUUCUCUGAACCUGUUUCAACUUCUGGUUCAUCAUCCACUUCAAGGUUACUACUACUAGACUCUGUUAAUGGAGAAGGUGAUAAGGCAGUGAAAAGCUUGAAUUUUGAAGCGUUCCCACGAAUUAAUGGAAGUGUUGAAUGCACUUGUGAGUUGAAGAACAUAGAUUUUUUUAAUGGGAUUUGUGGUUCAAGUGC